rnacentral:rRNA from 1 species
CCUACGGGAGGCAGCAGUGAGGAAUAUUGGUCAAUGGGCGGAAGCCUGAACCAGCCAAGUAGCGUGCAGGAUGACGGCCCUACGGGUUGUACACUGCUUUUAUACGGGAAUAACGCGCCUUACGUGUAGGGCUUUGCAUGUACCGUAUGAAUAAGGACCGGCUAAUUCCGUGCCAGCAGCCGCGGUAAUACGGAAGGUCCGGGCGUUAUCCGGAUUUUUUGGGUUUAAAUGGAGCGUAGGCCGCAUGCCAAGCGUGCUGUGAAAUGUACGGGCUCAACCCGGGCCUUGCAGCGCGAACUGGAGUGCUUGAGUCCGCGGAAAGCAGGCGGAAU